UGUUUUUUGUUUUGUUAAUCUUCUCUUUAGUUUAUUGUUUCAACACAUUUUGAAUGUACCUACUAAGCAAGUAGUACUUGCCUAAAAAAAAUUAAAUGUUUUAUUGUGUUACUUUUAAAUUAGGUAUACAGUGCAUUUUAUUGAUAGAAAAUGACUUCAGAGUACCAAAGAAAAUAUCGAAAGGUGGUAAAGGAAAUGGGGAGUUUUUCAAAUGCUGAAGAAGUUGUGAAACAGGAUAAUAUUGAGAUGUUACGUGAUAUUGACUAUAAUGAGGAUGAUUUUGAAACUAAUAACCUGAGUUCAGUUACUAGUAGCUCGGAAAGUGAAGGUGAUGUAGGAUCAGAUAGUAGCAAUGAAGAAAGUUUGAGAAACGAUUUGGCUGAUUUGGCAGUUACAAGUAAAAUGACGCAUGUUCAAGUGAACGGAGUGCUUAGUGUCUUGCGGAAGCAUGGUUUUGAUGUUCCAAAGGACAGUCGAACUCUUGUAAAAAGCACAAGAACAAUAGUUACAUACAAAAAAUGUGGUGGUGACUAUUUGUAUUUUGGGCUUCGAAAAAUCAUCACACAAUCUUUAGAAAUAGAUGACAGUAAUGAAAUUCUGAACUUGAAAGUAAAUGUGGAUGGUAUACCUUUGUACAAAUCAUCUAGCUUACAGUUUUGGCCAAUAUUGUGUUCGAUAAAUAAUUCUACUCCUAUGAUUGCCGCUCUUUUUAGUGGAAAUUCUAAACCAAACUCUGUAGAUGAUUUUUUGCAAGAUUUUAUUUAUGAGGUUAAGGAACUCCAAGAGUAUGGAUUUAGUUAUAAUGAAAAAACUUAUACCCUUUUAUUGCAGGCAUUUAUAUGUGAUUCACCGGCUAGAGCUUUUUUAAAAAAUAUUAAAGGUCAUAACAGUUUGCAUGGGUGUGAACGAUGUUGUGCAGUUGGAUUGUCAGUUAAUCAUCGUACAAUAUUUGUUAACCCAGGUUGUUUUAAUGCAGAAAGACGCACUGAAGAUAAAUUCUUCAACUUGGCAUAUAUUAAUAGUCACCAACAUGGUCCAACACCAUUAGUACAAAUAACAAAUAACUGUUUAGGCAUUUUUUCUCUGGACUACAUGCAUUUAGUUUGUUUGGGUGUGGUUAGACGAAUGCUUCAAUUUUUGAAAAAAGGAGAUAGAGUAGUAAGAUUAUGUAGCCGUCAAAUUUUAAAUAUAUCUGAAAACCUCCUUGAAUUAAGAAAGUACAUCCCUAGUGAGUUUGCGAGGCGUCCUCGGGGACUGAUUGAAUUGGAUAGGUGGAAGGCUACAGAAUUCCGCCAAUUCUUGUUAUAUACAGGUCAAGUUACAUUAAAAAGCAUAUUAAAAUCAGAUUUGUACAAACAUUUUUUAACAUUGUCUGUUGCUGUUACUAUUUUGCUUUCACCUGAUAAAGAUAAACGAGUUCAAUAUCUUGAGUAUGCACAAAAACUAUUAGAACAUUAUGUUCGACACUGUCAAAAGUUUUAUGGAGAUAAUUUUGUUGUGUAUAAUGUUCAUAAUUUACUCCACCUAGCAGAUGACGUACGCUUUUUUAAUUUAUCGCUUGAUGAAAUUAGUGCUUUUUCAUUUGAGAAUUUUCUCCAAACACUAAAAAAGUAUGUUCGGACACCAAAAAACCCACUUGUCCAAGUUGCUAAGAGGAUUGAAGAAUCUGAAAAUAUUGAACAUAUUCGAAAAGGUAAUAUUAAGUUAAAACAAAGAGAAUGGAGGCUAUCAACACUUCCUAGAGACUCAAUAGUGUUGCUUAAAAAUAACACUUAUGCUCAGAUUAUAGAAGUUAGAACAAAUGGAUAUUUUUGCUGCCUUUUUGACUGUUCCUAUCUACAACCUUUUUUUAUAGAACCAUGUUCUUCAGCACUUGUAGGUAUCUACUAUUCAGAAAACCGCCAUAAACAUACCAAAACAAAACUGGUGACUAAUGAGGAUAUUGCAAAAAAGGGGCUUAAACUGCCAUGUGAAGAUGGAUAUGUCCUUAUGCCGUUUCUGCACUGUAACGAGUAGUAGUAAAUUGUAGAUAAAAUAAAUAUUUAUUAAUUUUCCAUUGGUUUUUAUUGAUAUUCUAAUAAUUUUUUUUAUGCUCUUUAUGCUAUAGUAUUAUUGUAUGGUAUUUUUUUUGUGUCAAGUUUCAAAGUUUAGUUUUCUAUGGUUAUAAUUUAAUAUAUAAGAUGAUAAUUUUAAUAUAAAAUUUUAGAAGAUAUCAUUUUAUUUUCCAGGUUAGAUAUAAAUAAAGUUUACACUUUUGUAAAAUAUAGAUUUCGGUUAAAAGACGCUUUAAUGCAAAAUUUAUACACAUAAUUAUCAGAUAGCUUUCAGGAAUGUGAAAAUUUUGAAUAUACAACAUCAACAGACAUUGAUGAACCUCUUGUGGAGAAACAAA
rnacentral:misc_RNA from 1 species